rnacentral:rRNA from 1 species
CAGAGGGUGCGAGCGUUAAUCGGAAUUACUGGGCGUAAAGGGCGCGUAGGCGGUUUAUCAAGUGAGAUGUGAAAUCCCCGGGCUUAACCUGGGAACUGCAUCUUAAACUGAUGAGCUGGAGUACUGUAGAGGACAGUGGAAUUUCCGGUGUAGCGGUGAAAUGCGUAGAGAUCGGAAGGAACAUCAGUGGCGAAGGCGACUGUCUGGACAGAUACUGACGCUGAGGCGCGAAAGCGUGGGGAGCAAACAGGAUUAGAUACCCUGGUAGUCCACGCUGUAAACGAUGAGAACUGGAUGUUGGUGGGCAUGGCCCAUUAGUAUCGAAGCUAACGCGAUAAGUUCUCCGCCUGGGGAGUACGGCCGCAAGGUUA